rnacentral:rRNA from 1 species
CGCUGGCGGCGUGCCUAAUACAUGCAAGUCGAACGCACUCUCGUUUAGAUUGAAGGAGCUUGCUCCUGAUUGAUAAACAUUUGAGUGAGUGGCGGACGGGUGAGUAACACGUGGUAACCUGCCCUAAAGUGGGGGAUAACAUUUGGAAACAGAUGCUAAUACCGCAUAAAACCUAACACCGCAUGGUGUAGGGUUGAAAGAUGGUUUCGGCUAUCACUUUAGGAUGGACCCGCGGUGCAUUAGUUAGUUGGUGAGGUAAAGGCUCACCAAGACCGUGAUGCAUAGCCGACCUGAGAGGGUAAUCGGCCACACUGGGACUGAGACACGGCCCAGACUCCUACGGGAGGCAGCAGUAGGGAAUCUUCCACAAUGGACGAAAGUCUGAUGGAGCAACGCCGCGUGAGUGAAGAAGGUUUUCGGAUCGUAAAACUCUGUUGUUGGAGAAGAAUGUAUCUGAUAGUAACUGAUCAGGUAGUGACGGUAUCCAACCAGAAAGCCACGGCUAACUACGUG